GAAAGAUGAAAAAGAGUUAGAGCAUCAUUCUUUAAAAACUAAGAGUCGAAUCCAAAGAAAGAUGAACGAAAGCUUGAAAUAAUACAUGCAUUAGGUCAAGUAUGAAAAUUAGAGUUCUUACAGAAGGGGGAUGGAAAGUGAAAAACUACACAUUAGGAAGGUAAAACUAGCUACUUCAUAAGCACAAAAACAUACACAUACGUUUCCUUUUGGGCUAUGCGUGGUGGCAUGAAGAAAUUCCACCAGUCUUGUUCAUGUAAUAUAUUGGAAAAAUCAAAUAAAAAGUUGCUCUGGUGGAAUUUUACAAAGAAUUAGGAGGGUCAUACUAAUGAAGAGUGAUCCUCCAUAGAUAAAUUUGAUCUCUUCAAGAAUCAUGUAAUUCUGCAAUCCAACAAUGGCAGAGACCACCUCCCAUCAAAAGCUUUCAACCCAAAGAUAACUGAUGUCAAUUUUAUGCCUGCAAGUAUACAAACCGUAACAAGUAAUAGUGGAUGUAAGAAUCCGGGUUGUCAAUCCCACAAGAACUAUAUUCUAGCACUUAAUUCAAUUUUUUUUAACCACUAUUUGAUGAAAUAAAAACUUGUAGGAUUUGAGUUUUAGUUUAAAUACGAGAAAAUAAGUGAAUGCACAUACGAUUGGUUUGAAAAUCAAAUUAUGAAUGGACGUUAGGGGAGAAUAAUUUCACCUAUUGCUCACCUUUACAAUUUAAAUCAAGACUCUUUCCAAACGUAGUGUUUGAUUGAAUUAUCCUAUUGUAUUCAAUUUACCCCUCUCGAGUUGUUUUUGAGUCUAUUUAACUAAUUCACUUCCAUAUCUCUAUGCGAAUCGUGCUUAGUUAAACGAGUUCUUUGUCCUCGAAAUCAAUUAUGAUCGCAAUAAUUAGUAUAUGUAUCUCUACUCAUUAUACCAAUUUACCGAAUUUUACUAUAUGGUCUAAAUCCUAAAUUUAUAUCUCUAUUCGUAAAGAAUUCAUAAACUCAUCAAAUUAGUAAUUAAGUAAUUUAAUGCAUUCAAUCUAUAGUAAAAUCAACACAUGAAAGAAUGAAGAACAAGAAUUUUAAAUAAAUUAUAUAAAGGGUUCCAAAUGGAUUAUAUUAUUCGCCCUAACAACAAUUUUAACUAUUCAUAAUGAAAAAAGAAAAAGAAAAAUAUUAAUUGUCAUAGAAUACAUCACCGAAUUUUGCAUUAAAAAUGUAGAAGAAAAAAUAGAUCUUAUACCAAGAAUCUCUUCCUCUUUCAAUUGAUACUCUACACAGUGAAUUCCUCGAUGUUUUUCUCCCUUAAAAUCUUCCUUUGAUUUUCCAAUAGUGUUUUCUUGCCUCUCAAUGUGUAAAUCCCUCUUCAAAAGUGUGAGAAAUUUGUAGUUAUAGGUGCCUCCUCGUGUGUGCAAAAAGUAGGGUUUUUAUGGACUUCAAAAUGGGCAAAAAAAAUGCACCCUAGACGCACCCAGGCAGUGCCUCUGGGCCACCUCCGGAUAAAAAAUUUUGGCUGUGCUUCCUUUAGUAUUUUUAUUAAAAAUUUUUCUCUCAAUGUCUGAUUGAAACGAUUCAAGAUGUGUUAGAAAGUUAAUUCAAAAGGCUACAAUUUUGAUUCAGACAUCAUUCUCAAAUUUGAUCAUUUACUAUAUCAAAAAUGGGUCUUAAUAUGAGGCUGAAACCGAUACAUAACUUUUUUCAAUUGAAAAUUGAUAUGUGAUCAUACUUUGUUUAUGUUUUAUCCCUUUGACAUCUUUCUUUAUCCAAUUGAUUUUGAGCAUUCUUGCAUCUUUAUUAUAAGGUCCGACACAACUUUUGAGUAUUUGCAUUUCAGUCCUUAAACUUUGGAUCUCUUACAACUUAGUCAUUUUUUUUUCAAUUUUGCCCACUUUUGAUUCUUCCAAUUUUUUGUAUCAUCAUUGAAUUUUACCUAUUCAACACUAAAUGCAACAAUUUAGACCAUAAUUCAUCCGAAAAUCAAUUAAUAGCAUGUUUGAGCCACAUUAUUUCAAAAAAUAUAUUUUUAAACAGUUAUUUGACAUCAUUUUAACCAUACAUUCUUCAAUAAAAUAAUAUUACACGCAGAUCAAAAUAUUUUCCUUAUUUUCACUAUUCAAGAAUGCAUUAUUACCAAAAUAAUGUGACUCAAACACCCCCUAAAUAUCAUUGUUUUAAAGCUUUGAAAAAGUGUAUAAAAUACACUUAUCAAUAACCUAGCAGUCCAAGAGAAGGGCAAUGAGAAUGGUGAAAUUUGAAGGUACAAUCAUGUUGAAUGCUGAUCAUAAAUUCUGAGCUGAAGGCAAAAAUUGUACAUAAUACAAAAACUGAUUUAGGCCACCAUUAUUAUUAAAGUCCGAAAUAUGAUAGAUUCGAUAAGGUAUGCAUUUCAAUGAAGAGUAUCACUUCCAAAGAAAAUUAUAUAGAACCAUCAUGUGAAAAAUUCUUUGGAUUGUGAACAAAACUGGCAAGUCGGAAAGACCAUGCUACUUUCGUCUUUAUCUGAAUUGAUGGGUUUUCUCAUAACUUACACAGCUAUUCCUCAAUUUACUUGGUGGUAUCAUAAAAGACUAUACGACAAUGUGAUUUUAUAAAAGGAGCACAUUAUAUAGCAAAAAUUGAAAAAAAGGACAAGAACAUUAAUCACAGAUUCCCAUUACUAGUCUGCAAAAAGGAGAUUAAUAAAAAUUUAGAAUGAUAUGUGUGACGACCUGAAUUCUAAAGUUCGAGUGCCACUAAAAUCGUAUGUUGAACAUCAUAUUGCACUUUCAAAAGCUUGAAAUUUAUUUAAAUAACACCAUGAAAUUGUAAGGGUCAAUACAUAAAAUUUUGAUGUCAACAUAAAAUAAAAUACUAGAAGCUUAGCAAUCUUAAUAUCAAACCAAUAAUUAAAUAAGUUAUUAAAUAAAUAAAAAAUAAGCUUGUGGGUUUCUUUCACUUGCCACCUAGCCCUCUCAUGCCUUAAUUGUCACGAACCAUCAAUUUUUUGAAAGGUGAUAAAGGGGGGUGAGGAUGUGAAACAAAAUCUCAAUAAGCAUAUAAAUAUAUAGAUUAAUAUUGUACAAAAUUUAAGGAACUUCAUACAUACAUACACACACAAUGAGACAUGAAAAUCUAUAUCGAAUAUAGGUGGUAUGAAACUUUCACGCAUAGCGCUACUAUAUUCCGAUCCAAACUUAGAACAUACAUAAAGGACCUCAUAAUCACUUUUCCAAAAAUCCAACGUACGCAUAAAAUCUCAUUAAAAAAAAUACUUAUAAACUUUCCAUAUCUUAUGAAAAUGAUAAGAGAAAUACUAGAAUAUUUGAGACUUCAACUCUUGAUUCACGUACUAAAAAAUAUAUUAUUUGUAUUUGUGUGUAUUUUCACGGUGAAAUGAAUGUACUUGAAAAUGAGACAUAUGAUGCUUAUUUAUAGAGUCAUUAUGCUUUGAGAGUUCUAAUUCAAUUGAACUUUGAAUCUUAAAAGUGAUAAAAUCUUAUCAUUAUCUCAAUCAUAUUUCAGCUAAUGGAAUAAGAUAAUGAAUUAAAAAAAAAAAUCAUCUCCAUAAUUUCUAAAAUUAAAUAAAGUAUUGAUAAAAUCAAAAUGUUAUCUCUAUGAUUUAAAUAUUUCAAUUUUAUUUGAACGGGAUAAAUUUGAAACGUUAUAUCAAUUAUCUUUUAGUAUUAAACAAAAUAUAAAUAAAAUUAAAGUAUUAUUUUAAUAGGAAUUUGAUUUUAUCUCAAAAGAGAUAAAAUUAAAACAUUAUCUCCCUUAUUUAAUUAAAAUAAAAUAAAAUUUUAACAACUUGGGUUUAAGCCCAAAAAGAAAAAUAAAACAAAAAGGUGUGGGCUAUAAUUUCACAUAAUGGGCUUCCAAGUGAUUGGUCGGGCUAAAAUAUUAGUCGUGUCUUCCUUUUUUUUUUUUUUUGGGGCAAACCUAAAUUAAUAAAAUUAGGCCAUAGGUAUGGGUAUUACAAUAUGAUUUCCCCUUUCUGAUGAAAUUCAACAAGGCACAUCAUCAACUAAGAAGGGAACCUAAAGGGACGAUAAAAUUCAAAACCUUGACAUCAGCAUGUUUUUUAUAUCAAGGUUUGUGCAUAUAUGCAUAUUUGUAUUUGAACCUAAGUGCCAAAAAAAAAAAAAAAUCAAAAAUACAACNNNNNNNNNNNNNNNNNNNNNNNNNNNNNNNNNNNNNNNNNNNNNNNNNNNNNNNNNNNNNNNNNNNNNNNNNNNNNNNNNNNNNNNAUCCACGAUACAUUCUUUUACACAAAUGUGAAUAUUCAAGCAUGGUAAAAGGCAUGUGAUCAAGUCUAGAACGUAAGAAAAUGCAAGACAUAUCUUGCCCUUCAUAUUAUUUUAGAAAGGAGUUGUAGCAAAUGUUACGCCUCCUCUAGCGAGGCUCCUAGCAUGACCAUGUGGUAGCCAAACCUGGGCCUGCCACAUCAUUUCUCUGGCCGAAUCCUUAUGAAGGGUCGAAUCCAUUUGCUGAAGCAGACCCCAUUUGGGGAACCGAACCCCCAUUGGAGGGGUGAGCCAUUAUGGGUUUAGUGGAAGAUCUUCCAUAACCUUGGUAAAUGAUUUUAGGCAACAAAAUAGUAUUAAAAUUAAGGAUGUAUUUGAUUGGAAAUUUUUAUACGAAAAAUGGUCUUUUUCCACUCGAAUUCCAACUUUUGAAGUGUUCGAUUGUCAUUUUUUUCAUGAAAUAUAUUUUUCAACCUUUGAAAAUAUGUCUAGUUCUCCUUUUUAUUAUUCAUCUUCUUGUAUUAUAAAAGCUCACACAAUGUGCCAUUUCAAAUGUAAUACAAGUUUAGACUCUCAAUCUACAACUUUGCUAUCUCUUAAAUCUCCUAAAGUCGAAUUCCUUUUAUUUUAAUAUAUACAAGAUGCUCGUGUCUAGAGCAGCUCCCACAUUCAAAUACUUAUAUUAUCAACUAACUUGAUCGUUGGAGUGCUCAUGGCCAACUCCACCCCACCGGAGGAGGCCACAUGUGGCUAACGAUUUGUUCUAGUAUACAGGAAUCUGCUUAUGUGAAUACGGGAGGCCUUGAGAUCUAUUGGUCACGUUGGAUAUACAAAAUUUGAGGUCAACGGCAAAAAUCUUGGCUAGUAAUGAAGGAUGAUUUGCCGGAACUAAACUCUAUUGAAACAAGACUUAAGUUAUUAAAUUAUUGAGGACCAAACACAUAAAAAACUGUUGGAAUUUAGCCCAUAUGUGACACAAUUAGAGCGACCGUGUAAGGAAGUCUUAGAUCUUAUCCAUAUGAUUUGGAUACACCCUCAGAGAUUUUAAUCCUUACUUAAAUUGGAAUCAAGAGAAUCUCUUAGAGAAUCCUAGUAGAAUUAAAUUAUGACUCUUAGCGAGCCUAUAAAUAGGACACCAACAUUCCAAGAUCAGGGUUCUUGAGUUGUGGAGAUUUGUGAUUGUUCGAGUAAGCUCACACACACGAGCUUUAAUAAUUGUAAGUAACAAUAAUAUUGUAAGGUUAUAGCAAGGAAUUGGACUAGAAGAUUGUAGAUCCGUAUAGUACCACCACAUGCUUCCGACAAAAACAUUUGAAUGUGUAGAACUUUCUAUUAACCUAUUAACUACCCAAAAAUAAGUAGCCUAUCCAAAUGAUUUAACAAUAGAGAUCACAUCUCUGGAGGCAACCUUCUCUGGUGGCAAGAGCAUCUAUUUUGGAUCUUUUUCGAGUGAAAGAAGUAUCAAUUACCAGUUUAAGUAACUUUGUUAUCCAAUGCAUUCCACAGAAUUUCAUGGAAAGAGUUAUUCUUCAAUUAGAAAACAAAAUAACAAACCUCACGCUGCCUAUUCCUCUCAUCAUAUAGAACUUUAUUAAAGAUCAGGCCAUGUUAAAGGUGUAAAAAUGGACAAGGCUGGCCCAAGCCCGCCAAGUCCAUCAAUAAGAGCUCAGUCCACAGAAGGCACAGCCCAACUACAUUGGCUCUAGGACCCCCCCAGCCCAUACCGGGCUGGCUUAGGUGGCCCUAUUAAUUAAAAAAAAUAAAGAACUAUGCCCGUUAAUCAAGAAAACAUAACCAACUCUUACAGACUGCAGAGUCCAAUGGAUUUUGCAUCCAGCAGCUCUGAAUUAAUGCAGAGUCCAUUUCUAAUUGAAUUUUUUUUUGAGAUGUUAUCAAAGAAACGAAAAAUGAAUAUUUUUUAUAUUAAAUUACAGCCUAGCUGAUAAAUAAUUUGUCCAUCAUUACAAUAAAGAUUUACUAUCCUUAAGUUUCUUAUUUUUGAGUCCUAGUCCUUGGUUUAGUACUUACAGAGAGGAAGUAACAAUUGGAGGUCUUGGAAGAUGAAGAGAAGGCUCUGUGCAACUAUCUUUCUAGUGAAUAAAGUACUUAGAAGAAAAUCAGAUAAAAGUUCAUGGUUUCAACGUCAACAUAUCUCAUAAACAAAAUCAAAGUUCAGUGGGAGUAACCAAGUUAUCCUGAUGUUGAGUUAUUAAAAAAAAUUAUCUCUACAAGUUAAAUGUAGCUGAGAUAUGAAUACUGAGAUGGAUUUGUGGUAAAACGAGUAGUAACAAAUAAGCAUAUUCAUUAAUUGGAGCCAGUUGAAUAUGAAUCGGAUGAAAAAUGAUUAAGAUGGUUUGAGCACAUUUUAAAAAAAAAGCUUUAUCGCACCAAUUGGAAAAGAAAUGAUACUAGUACCGAUAAUGAUAGAAUUGGAGAUCCUAUUGCAAGCAAAGCAUCAAGUGCAAUGAUUGCAUGAAGCCAUUUUCAGUCAUUUAUCGAAAUAUGUUUCAUCCUCUCGACCCACAAGAUCAACAAAGAGAUUGAUAUGGCUCAGCGCCACUUUAUAAAGUAACAUUGAUGGAGAUACACAGGCAAUAAAAAGUGCUAGUUAGAGCCCUCUUUAAAAUACUUUAACCUAUAAUUAUUUUUGUUAGUCAAUUUACUUCGGAGCUUCUCCUCUGACAUCCAUGGAUAAAAUUCUGACAACCCAAAAAAAUAAAAAUAAAAAGGAGAGAAGUGAAAGUUAAUCAAAAAUUAAACAUUAUAAAUGUGAUAAUCUAAUAAAACCAAUUUGAUAAUGCAAAUUCAUUCCUCUUUCCACUCCACAGCGCAAAAUCAUUGCCUCUUUAUAUUCAAACUAAGCAGAAUCAUUGUUUAAUUUUUUACUAAUCGGUUCUCCUUCAAAUUACAUGAUCUGAAAAUUGAAAUUACAGGCAGAAAAUACAUAGUAUACCUUAAUAAAUAAAAAAUAGUACCUGAUUUCUUUUAACGAAAAUUUACCUUUUAAGAGCUCGACAAUGCACCUUUCUUCUGCUUCUUUGUAUAAAAUUUCAUCCUCAAUACUAUUGCCCCGAUCUGAAGCUAUACUAGAGAGAACGAGGGUCAUUUUGGAAAAUUGCACCAUCAGUCCUCAAUUAUCCCCAUUAUUACGGACUAAAUUGAAACACGACUGAAUUUAUU
rnacentral:lncRNA from 1 species